CGAAAGUCUGAUGGAGCAACGCCGCGUGAGUGAUGAAGGGUUUCGGCUCGUAAAACUCUGUUGUUGGAGAAGAACAGGUGAUAGAGUAACUGUUAUCAUCUUGACGGUAUCCAACCAGAAAGCCACGGCUAACUACGUGCCAGCAGCCGCGGUAAUACGUAGGUGGCAAGCGUUGUCCGGAUUUAUUGGGCGUAAAGCGAGCGCAGGCGGUUUUUUAGGUCUGAUGUGAAAGCCUUCGGCUUAACCGGAGAAGGGCAUCGGAAACCGGGAGACUUGAGUGCAGAAGAGGACAGUGGAACUCCAUGUGUAGCGGUGAAAUGCGUAGAUAUAUGGAAGAACACCAGUGGCGAAGGCGGCUGUCUGGUCUGUAACUGACGCUGAGGCUCGAAAGCAUGGGUAGCGAACAGGAUUAGAUACCCUGGUAGUCCAUGCCGUAAACGAUGAGUGCUAAGUGUUGGAGGGUUUCCGCCCUUCAGUGCUGCAGCUAACGCAUUAAGCACUCCGCCUGGGGAGUACGACCGCAAGGUUGAAACUCAAAGGAAUUGACGGGGGCCCGCACAAGCGGUGGAGCAUGUGGUUUAAUUCGAUGCUACGCGAAGAACCUUACCAGGUCUUGACAUCUUCUGCUAACCUAAGAGAU
rnacentral:rRNA from 1 species